GACGAACGCUGGCGGCGCGCUUAACACACGCAAGUCGAGCGAGAACCAGUCCUUCGGGACUGGGGACAGCGGCGAACGGGUGAGUAACACGUGGGUAAUCUGCCCUCGGCACCGGAAUAGCCCGGGGAAACCCGGAUUAAUGCCGGAUGGCCUCUCCGCCCCUCGGGGCGGUGAGAAAAGGUAGCUUCGGCCUCCGGCCGAGGAUGAGCCCGCGGCCGAUUAGCUUGUUGGUGAGGUAACGGCGCACCAAGGCGACGAUCGGUAGCUGGUCUGAGAGGACGAUCAGCCACACUGGGACUGAGACACGGCCCAGACUCCUACGGGAGGCAGCAGUGGGGAAUCUUGCGCAAUGGGCGAAAGCCUGAUGCAGCGACGCCGCGUGCGGGAAGAAGGCCUUCGGGUUGUAAACCGCUUUCAGGAGGGACGAAGCCACUCGGGUUAAUAGCCUAGAGGGUGACGGUACCUCCAGAAGAAGCCCCGGCUAACUACGUGCCAGCAGCCGCAGUAAUAC
rnacentral:rRNA from 1 species